CCUACGGGUGGCUGCAGUGGGGAAUAUUGCACAAUGGGGGAAACCCUGAUGCAGCAACGCCGCGUGAGUGAAGAAGUCAUUCGUGAUGUAAAGCUCUAUCAGCAGGGAAGAAAAUGACGGUACCUGACUAAGAAGCACCGGCUAACUACGUGCCAGCAGCCGCGGUAAUACGUAGGGGGCAAGCGUUAUCCGGAUUUACUGGGCGUAAAGGGGGCGUAGACGGCGACGCAAGUCUGAAGUGAAAUGCCAGUGCUCAACACUGGAACUGCUUUGGAAACUGUGUGGCUAGAGUGGAGGAGAGGUAAGGGGAAAUCCUAGGGUAAGGGGGAAAUGC
rnacentral:rRNA from 1 species